rnacentral:rRNA from 1 species
CCUACGGGUGGCAGCAGUGAGGAAUAUUGGUCAAUGGGCGCGAGCCUGAACCAGCCAAGUAGCGUGAAGGAUGACUGCCCUACGGGUUGUAAACUUCUUUUAUAAAGGAAUAAAGUGAGGCAAGUGUGCCUUUUUGUAUGUACUUUAUGAAUAAGGAUCGGCUAACGCCGUGCCAGCAGCCGCGGUAAUACGGAGUCUCCGAGCGUUGUCCGGAUUUAUUGGGUUUAAAGGGAGCGUAGAUGGGUUGUUAAGUCAGUUGUGAAAGUUUGCGGCUCAACCGUAAAGUUGAAAUUGAUACUGGCAGUCUUGAGUACAGUUGAGGUAGGCGGAAUUCGUGGUGUAGCAGUGAAAUGCUUAGAUAUCGCGCAGAACUCCGAUUGCGAAGGCAGGGUACCGGCGCCGGACUGACGCUGAGGCACGAAGGCGAGGGUAUCGAACAGGAUUAGAUACCCUGGUAGUC